UCUCUUUUGUCUUUUUGCACGGUAGAUAAAACCUAAAAGGGUUUAACCCUUUUAUCUCCAAAUCCAUAAUUCGAUUCUUAAUUUGCUGCUACAAGCUUGUUUUUUGUUUCUCCUCUCUUAUCCAUGGCAUCAACGUUUCUCACCUUACCAACUCCAUUCCUUCACAAAACUAAUGCCCUCUCUUUCUCCAACAAGAGACUCCCAUUUUUGCAAAGGAACUCUCUGAAGGUCAAUGCUGUUGCCGACAAAUGGGAACCCACCAAGGUUGUGCCUCAGGCUGAUAGAGUUCUUAUACGUCUGGAGGAGCUAGCAGAUAAAACAUCUAAUGGAGUUUUGUUGCCCAAGUCAGCUGUUAAAUAUGAACGAUACCUCACAGGAGAAAUCCUAACUAUAGGUGCUGAGGCUGGAGAACUAAAGGCUGGAACAAAGGUGAUUCAAAUUCUCAAAAGGACCCAAAAUCUUACCAAGACAAACAACCCAAACUUAGAUUCAAGCAAUCCUAAUCUCGAGUCAUUGAUACAUUAAACCACAGACAAGGAAAUAAAGUCAGAAUCUAAUUUGGGAUAAGAUUCCUCAAGAGCCAAACAAGUAACCAUUAAUUCCUGAGUUAUUGAUGAUUAACCCUUAAAUCCCAAUUUCAGUCCCUAUUUCCCAGUUUAUGAUUACAUCAUAAAUUAAUGUUGCAAGGACCAACUCCCACAAGCUCAGGCUUUUAGGUGACACUCAACAACAAUAAUCAAGUCUUAUCUCACUAGGUACUAUUCACUGACGUAAAUGCUUAUCAGGUUGAUUUGGGGACUGAAGCAAAGCACUGCUUCUGCAAAGCAAGUGAUUUAUUGGCCGUGGUUGAGUAGGAUUUGGCCACUGUUGUGAGGCAAAAAGGGCAACCUUUUUGAUAAUUUUUAUGGCACUUGUAUUAGUGGUAGACUAACCAUUUUUCAUGAUUAUUGUUAAAAUUUUAUCUUUUGUUGUAAUAACUUGCUUCUUUACGAGGGAGUUUUUUAUUCAGUUUUUUCAAAAUCUACCCGUAAUCUGUUUUUUCCAAUAGUAUAAGGUGUUGGCUUGCUUGGAAGAGUUUAUGACUCAAAUUGUUUUUAAUUUAUUUGAAUAAGUAUUGGUAUAAUUGAUC